UACGUAGGGUGCGAGCGUUAAUCGGAAUUACUGGGCGUAAAGCGUGCGCAGGCGGUUUUGUAAGUCAGAUGUGAAAUCCCCGGGCUUAACCUGGGAACUGCGUUUGAAACUACAAGGCUAGAGUGUGGCAGAGGGGGGUGGAAUUCCACGUGUAGCAGUGAAAUGCGUAGAGAUGUGGAGGAAUACCGAUGGCGAAGGCAGCCCCCCUGGGAUAACACUGACGCUCAUGCACGAAAGCGUGGGGAGCAAACAGG
rnacentral:rRNA from 1 species